AGCUAGCUGACGAGUCGCAAAUAGGAUGAAAUGCGCAUUAUCCUAGAU
rnacentral:hammerhead_ribozyme from 1 species